AGAGUUUGAUCAUGGCUCAGAAUCAACGCUGGCGGCGCGCUUAACACAUGCAAGUCGAACGAGAAAGCCCGCAAGGGUGAGUACAGUGGCGCACGGGUGAGUAACACGUGGGUAAUCUGCCUCUGGGUGGGGAAUAACUCUGGGAAACCGGAGCUAAUACCGCAUAAGCCUGAGAAGGGAAAGGUGAAAACCGCCGAGAGAGGAGCCCGCGGCCGAUUAGCUGGUUGGUGAGGUAAAGGCUCACCAAGGCAAUGAUCGGUAGCCGGCCUGAGAGGGCACACGGCCACACUGGCACUGAAACACGGGCCAGACUCCUACGGGAGGCAGCAGUGGGGAAUCUUGCACAAUGGGGGAAACCCUGAUGCAGCGACGCCGCGUGAGCGAUGAAGCCCUUCGGGGUGUAAAGCUCUUUCGGCAGGAACGAUAAUGACGGUACCUGAAGAAGAAGCUGCGGCUAACUACGUGCCAGCCGCCGCGGUAAUUC
rnacentral:rRNA from 1 species